rnacentral:rRNA from 1 species
UGGGGAAUAUUGCACAAUGGGCGAAAGCCUGAUGCAGCAACGCCGCGUGAGUGAUGAAGGUCUUCGGAUUGUAAAGCUCUGUCUUUUGGGACGAUAAUGACGGUACCAAAGGAGGAAGCCACGGCUAACUACGUGCCAGCAGCCGCGGUAAUACGUAGGUGGCGAGCGUUGUCCGGAUUUACUGGGCGUAAAGGGUGCGUAGGCGGAUGUUUAAGUGAGAUGUGAAAUACCCGGGCUUAACUUGGGUGCUGCAUUUCAAACUGGAUAUCUAGAGUGCAGGAGAGGAGAAUGGAAUUCCUAGUGUAGCGGUGAAAUGCGUAGAGAUUAGGAAGAACACCAGUGGCGAAGGCGAUUCUCUGGACUGUAACUGACGCUGAGGCACGAAAGCGUGGGUAGCAAACAGGAUUAGAUACCCUGGUAGUCCACGCCGUAAACGAUGAGUACUAGGUGUAGGAGGUAUCGACCCCUUCUGUGCCGCAGUAAAACACAUUAAGUACUCCGCCUGGGAAGUACGAUCGCAAGAUUAAAAACUCUAAAAGUG